CUGUUUAAGUCCAGUAUACGAGAAUCUUGAUGAGAUAUGCGGUUUGAGCGUGUUACUUUAAACGGAGAUUAGUUCUUCUAUUGGAGCUCAAAACACUUUUCUGCACGGAAAUCGCUUUUGGCUCAAAACGUAGCUU